rnacentral:rRNA from 1 species
UACGUAGGGUGCAAGCGUUAAUCGGAAUUACUGGGCGUAAAGCGUGCGCAGGCGGUUGUGUAAGUCAGAUGUGAAAUCCCCGGGCUCAACCUGGGAAUUGCAUUUGAGACUGCACGGCUAGAGUGUGUCAGAGGGGGGGUAGAAUUCCACGUGUAGCAGUGAAAUGCGUAGAUAUGUGGAGGAAUACCGAUGGCGAAGGCAGCCCCCUGGGAUAACACUGACGCUCAUGCACGAAAGCGUGGGGAGCAAACAGGAUUAGAAACCCCUGUUGUCC